AGUAUUACCGGUAAAGUUUUUGUACUAAAAGAAAAACAAAAUGUCACAUUGUGUAAAGUGCAAGAAGUAGAUUUUACAACAAAAAGCAGGUAUGAAUCUUACAAGGGAAGCAUUUUAAAUUUCAUGUCUGGGUUGGAUCUCUCUAGCAAUCAAUUGAGAGUUGCUCAUAAUAAUCUAUCUGGAAUGACACCUGAUAUGAAAAAUCAAUUUGCAACUUUUGGCUCAGCCAGUUAUGAAGGGAACCUUUUUCUAUGCGGUCCCCCUUUGCCGCAAAAUUGCUCAAUAGGAGGGAGAAACAGGCAACCUCAUCAUUUGGAUACAAAUGAUUUUCGAGAUGCUUUCUUAUGGAGUUUUGUUGGAGCAUUUGGGGUCUUUUUUAUAAGUGUCAUUAUAGUUAUUUAUUUGAAUCCUUACAUUUUCAAUUACAAACUACUUGUAUUAGAGAGAGUUAUAACAAGUUAUUUGUAUGAGUGAUGGCAAAAAGGAAAAAGGCUUUACUUAGAGUUCAAUUAGAGUUCAUAAGAUUUUGAUCAUGUAAUCGAUGGCCUGCUGAUCUUUUCUAGAAUUACAAUAACCAAAAGAUUGCUGGUUUCAAGUCUUCUCAGGAUCAGAAAGGAAACUUAAUUGAAAUAUUCGAAUCAUUACUUCU